rnacentral:miRNA from 1 species
AAGUGGAGCCAGAAACCUUGCCA